rnacentral:rRNA from 1 species
GACGAACGCUGGCGGCGUGCUUAACACAUGCAAGUCGAACGCUGAAGCACCAGCUUGCUGGUGUGGAUGAGUGGCGAACGGGUGAGUAAUACGUGAGUAACCUGCCCUUGACUCUGGGAUAAGCCCGGGAAACUGGGUCUAAUACUGGAUGCUACAUGUCACCGCAUGGUGGUGUGUGGAAAGGGUUUACUGGUCUUGGAUGGGCUCACGGCCUAUCAGCUUGUUGGUGAGGUAAUGGCUCACCAAGGCGACGACGGGUAGCCGGCCUGAGAGGGUGACCGGCCACACCGGGGAAGGGGGACAGGCCACACACCCCAGGGGGGGGCGAGGGGGGGAAAUUUUACAAAGGGGGGAAACCUGUUACAGCGCACCCCCGGGGGGGGGAGGGGCCGUUUGGGUUUAAACCCCUUUUACCGGGGGAAAAACCACAAAAGGCGGGGCCCGGAGAAGAAACGCCCGCUGAAAACGU